UACGAAGGGGGGCUAGCGUUGCUCGGAAUCACUGGGCGUAAAGGGCGCGUAGGCGGAUCUUUAAGUCGGGGGUGAAAGCCCAGGGCUCAACCCUGGAAUUGCCUUCGAUACUGAAGAUCUCGAGACCGGAAGAGGUAAGUGGAACUGCGAGUGUAGAGGUGAAAUUCGUAGAUAUUCGCAAGAACACCAGUGGCGAAGGCGGCUUACUGGUCCGGUUCUGACGCUGAGCGCGAAAGCGUGGGGAGCAAACAGG
rnacentral:rRNA from 1 species